GAAGGUAUAGCUCAGUGGUAGAGUGUGUGCUUAGCUCGCACGAAGUCCUGGGUUCAAUGCCCAGUUUCUCCA
rnacentral:tRNA from 1 species